rnacentral:ncRNA from 1 species
GUGAGCUGUCCGGACUGCGAUUAGUUCAGUUCUGUCUCUUCGCGGGAAGUUCUGCAACCCUAUCACUAGAGGGAAGAGAAGUCGUACAAAGGUUUCCGUAGGUGACCCUGCGGAAGGAUCAUUC